CUUAAAUUGACCUGAUGCCAAAACUCUUGAAACCUCAUGGUUUAGGGCCGGUAUAUUUAUGGUGAGUGAAUGGAACUGCCCCUUCUCCUUUCGUGCUGUGACCUCCGUGGGUGGAACUCCAGGGAUGACUCCGCUGGUGCUGCCGCUCAUGCACCGCCUGGUCUCACACUGUGUCCCACAGGAUGGAGCAGGCUGGAAGGGACCGCGCUGCGCAUCUGCUCCAAGCUCCCUGCUCGAGCAGGGCUGUGGCGGAGCACAGGGCACGGGACUGCACCCGGACGGCUCGCAAGUGUCCCCAGCGAGGGAGCGUCCCGCUCUGUCAGCGGCAGGGACGCCGCCCCUGCCCGCAGGAUCUCCAUGGGGGCCGGGCCGCGUCACGGCGCUCCCCGC
rnacentral:lncRNA from 12 species